rnacentral:rRNA from 1 species
AGUGAACGCUGGCGGCGUGCCUAAUACAUGCAAGUCGAGCGGACGGACGAGAAGCUUGCGUCUCUGAUGUUAGCGGCGGACGGGUGGGUAACGCAUGGAUAACCUACCUCUAAUACUUGGGUAACUUCGGGGGACCGCAGCUGCUACCAGAGCAUAUUUUCAACCGCAUGGUUCAGGAGUGAAAGACGGUCUUGCUGUCACUUAUAGAUGGAUCCGCGCUGCAUUAGCUAGUUGGUAAGGUAACGGCUUACCAAGGCAACGAUGCAUAGCCGACCUGAGAGGGUGAUCAGCCACACUGGAACUGAGACACGGUCCAGACUCCUACGGGAGGCAGCAGUAGGGAAUAUUCGGCAAUGGGCGAAAGCCUGAUGGAGCCACGCCGCGUGAGUGAUGAAGGUCUUCGGAUCGUAAAGCUCUUUUAUUAGGAAAGAACAGAUGUGUAAGUAACUGUGCACAUCUUGACGGUACCUAAUCAGAAAGCCCCGGCUAACUACGUG